GCCUGAAAUCACGUGGUUGAUGAGCCGUAGUGAGGA
rnacentral:sRNA from 1 species